GUACUCACUUUGGCAGCACAUGUGUAAAAACUGGAAGGAUACAGAGAUUAGCAUGACUUUUCAAGGACAACAUGCAAAUUCAUGAAGCAUUUAAAAAAUAC
rnacentral:snRNA from 1 species